rnacentral:rRNA from 1 species
UUGGGAAUAUUGGACAAUGGGCGAGAGCCUGAUCCAGCAAUCCCGCGUGAGUGAUGAAGGCCUUCGGGUCGUAAAGCUCUUUUAGUAGGGACGAAGGGGAAACCUUGACGGUACCUACAGAAAAAGCACCGGCUAACUCUGUGCCAGCAGCCGCGGUAAUACAGAGGGUGCAAGCGUUGUUCGGAAUCAUUGGGCGUAAAGCGCGAGUAGGCGGUCUCUUAAGUCUGAUGUGAAAGCCCGGGGCUCAACC